GAAACAACUCAGUUGGUUAGAGCGUGGUGCUGAUAAUGCCAAGGUCACAAGUUUGAUCCCCGUAUGGGACAGCUACA
rnacentral:tRNA from 1 species